UCUGAACCCUCGUAACAGUACAAGUGUUACAUCAAACAUUGCAAGGCGCUUCACAGGAACAUUCCUAAUUAAAGAGUGACAUUGAAGCACAUGGAGAUAUCAGGACUGGUGACCAAAUGCUUGGUCAAAGAGAACAUUCCUUUCUAACUGGGUGAACAAUCCCGCUGGUUUGAAAAGCUGCAGAAUUGUGAAGAAGUUGGAUCAAAGGAGGGCAGCAGAGCAGAAACUGAAAGAAAAGAAAAUCAGAGAAAAAUAUCAAAGAUUGGGAUUGAGUGCAAGGAAGAAAAUGAGUAACCAAGUUCAGAUAAUGCAAUGAAGCCGGAAGCUGAGAGAACAGCACAAGGGUACAUCAACAAAAUACCCUCUCUGUAUUCCGAUCUGCAAAACAAGGCUUCACACGUUGAGAAGGGGCACUCCCACGUCUGGGAACAAGAGUUUGGUUGUAAAUUAAACGUGGUCAAAAAGGGAAAAGGAGGAUUUGAACCAUGUCACUACCACAUUCCUUCUCUGUGUCUGUCAUGGCUUUCCACCGGCACAUCGCCCACUCCAGGCUGGGAUUAUUUGUCUUUGCAACACUCACCUGCUUUCAGCUGUCUGCAACCUUACAAAGCUGUGGUAGGAAGCAGAAUAAUUUCAGCAGCAUCCCUGAAGCUCAGUACAGCAGCAACCCCUGCCCAACUUCUGGGGUGAUAUUGGUUCUUUACCACAUGGUGCACAUCUUUCUUGACAUGGUCCAACCAAAUCCCUUCCCAACAGAUAUAAUCAAGAUACUUGUACAAAACACUACAGAAAUACAGCACAACUAUAUAAAGGUGUUGAAGUAUGAGGUUGGCUUCAUCGUGUGUGCUGCCAUUGGAAUUCUCUUCUUCCUCCUCAUGCCCUUGGUUGGGGUUUGCUUCUGUUGCUGUCGGUGUUGUGGGAACUGUGGAGGGAAGAUGUACCAGAAGCAGACUGAAUCAAUGAACUGCAAGAGGAGGACACUGGCCACCAUCUUGUUACUGGUCACAACAGUGAUUCUAGCGGGAAGUGUCUGCAUGUUCGUCAGCAAUGAGAAGGUGACAGAAUCCUUCCAGGCUAGUGGCAACUCACUGGAAAACACCUUAGGCAAUCUGAAAACUUACCUUGACACCAUCCCAAAACAAAUCAGAGCUGUCACUGAUGCCAGUACAAUCCCAGUACACAACAUCACAGCUAACCUGGACAAUAUGGGUUCAAGUCUUGGUGAAGCAGUCAGGGAGAAGCUGGGUGAAGCAAUAUACCCUGCACUGAAUUCGGCAUCUCAGCUGGCACAAGAUAUCCACCAGAUGAGUGACAGACUGGUGCUCAUAAACUCAACAGCAGGAAGGCUGCUACAUCAACAGGAGGUCCUCGAGCAGAAUCUGACUGCCAUCCGUCAAGAGAUCAACAGCACACUCAACCAGUGCGGUUCACAAUGUAGCAACAGCCUGGGCCUCGUCAAGGGCCUUGACCUUCUUGUCAACUUUAGCAUGGUUCCCAGUAUGGACAAGGAGAUAGAGGCCAUGAAGCUGUUAGUGAACGCUAACCUCUAUUCCAUCGUACAAAAGGGUUAUAAAGUUUUCAAUGACACACCCGCACUGCUUGUCAACCAGUCAGCCAGCACUGUGUCAGAAAUGAAGAAGAGCACAAUGGAUAUUGAAAAGCAGAUACAACAUAUCACGCAAGAGUUUCCGAUAUUAACCGCACUAACGUCAGUCAAUUCUGAACUAAAUAAGAUUAAUAGCUCAAUAAAUAAAUAUCUCCCAGAGGUCCAGAAGGGAGAUAAAUAUAGGUGGUUUGUUGGGAUUGUGCUGUCCAGUAUAAUUCUCCUGAUUGUUCUGUGUAAUUAUCUGGGUCUCUUGCUGGGAACAAUGUACCUCAAACCCAAUGUGAAUCCCAUCGAAAGAAGCUCGGCGUCCACCUGUGGAGGGAAUCUCUUCAUGGCGGGAGUCGGCUUCAGUUUCAUCUUCUCAUGGCUCUUGAUGCUCCUCGUCUUUAUCAUGUUUUUUGUGGGUGGAAAUAUAUAUUCACUGGCUUGCAAACCUUGGUACAAUGAUGAACUUUUUCAGGUAAUUGAAACCUCCGGGCUGAUUGCUGACUUAAACCUGUCACAGUCCCUGGGAUUGAAGAAUACCAAGCUGAGCAUCAACAGUGCUUAUAAAAGCUGCAUGAACAACACAUCUGUAUGGAAGGCCCUGGACCUGGCCCAGGACUUCAACCUGGACGAGUAUUUGAACCUGAGUAAGUAUACAGGGGACAUUUCAAGUAAAUUUGAUAAGAUCAACGUCAGCUUAUCGGGGAUUACAUUACUGGAUGACAAGGGCAAGAAGAUCAUGAAAGACUUCCUGAACACUGGUAUCGAUGAUCUAAACUUUACCAGCAUCUCUGAGCAGCUGGGUAAGCCAUUAGUUCAGACGGAACUGCACAUCACUGCUGAGAAACUGCAAAAUCUCUCAAAGAUGGUGCCAGACCCAUUCAAAACUGCACUAAAUAAAGAGGCAGCCAGCCUGAAGAAAUUGAACAACUGGGCCCAGAGUAACAUGGUGCCAAAUAUGGAAAGUUUGAAAGAAAACAUUCAGGAUCUUCAGGCAAACACAUCACAACUUGAGGUAAUCGUAAACAAUACUUUAUCAAAGAUAGAUUCUGCACAGACUUUGCUCCGCACAAAAUCUUCAGACAUUAUUAAAAAUGAAUCCAAGAUUUUUCUGGAUUGUCAGCUCGAUUAUUUCAGUUCCUAUGUCAGUUGGACCAAGAUAAUGAUUACGGAGAAUCUAGCUCGGUGCAAACCGGUGGCGGAUGUCCUGAAUUCUACUGCAACAAUCGCUUGUUCUUAUAUUUUGGACUCAUUGAAUGCUUUCUGCUUCAGCCUGGGCUGGAGCACUAUAUUCUUGAUUCCAAGCAUCAUAUUUGCAGUGAAGCUGGCCAAAUUCUAUCGACGCAUGACAACUGCAGAUGUGUACGAUGGGAAAACAUUUUCAAAGCAUUAAGAUCCUGCCCUAUGAGUCUUAGUUCUAGACUCUCGAGCCAGGUGAAGCAGCUUGUCAGCAUCUACCCUGCAAGGUAUGGGAUAUGGCAGCCAAUUCUGGCACAGCAAGCUCCUAUAAACAGCAAUGAGGUAGUGGCUGUGGGAUCUUCUACGUCACCUGAGGGCAGACAGAGCGUUGGUUGAAUGUCUCUUUUGAAAGACGGCACGUCCGACAGUGCAGCACUCCCUCAGCACUGCAGUGCAAAUGUCAGGAAUGAUGACCCUCAGUUGGAAAUGAGAACUCUGCAUAAAUAACUCAGCCUUUCUGAAGCCAGAAAUGGGGAUUUUAACAAGAUACUGAAGAUUGCAACUCUCAUUGACUGCCCUACGUGGGCAAUAAUGAACAAACCAACAACAUUAGUGGAGCUUCCUCUUGAGUUCAGUGUUGCCAAAGUGCAGAGAGUUGAAAUUAGAGCAUUUGUAAUUUGAAUGAAGCUUUGUACAGCAUGUUUUGUUGCUGUGCCAAUCUUUCCCGGAACUCCAUGUUUGAAUUCCUGCCCCUACCACAAUACUGAAACAACUCUUAUCAACAUCACAAAUGACAUCCUGUGUAACUGUGACAAAAGUAAACUUUCCCUCCUCGA